UACGUAGGGUGCAAGCGUUGUCCGGAGUUAUUGGGCGUAAAGAGCUCGUAGGCGGCCUGUCGCGUCGGAUGUGAAAAUCCAAGGCUCAACCUUGGACCUGCAUUCGAUACGGGCAGGCUAGAGUUCGGUAGGGGAGACUGGAAUUCCUGGUGUAGCGGUGAAAUGCGCAGAUAUCAGGAGGAACACCGGUGGCGAAGGCGGGUCUCUGGGCCGAUACUGACGCUGAGGAGCGAAAGCGUGGGGAGCGAACAGG
rnacentral:rRNA from 1 species